rnacentral:rRNA from 1 species
UACGGGGGGAGCAAGCGUUGUUCGGAUUUACUGGGCGUAAAGGGCGCGUAGGCGGCCACCGCAAGUCGACUGUGAAAUCUCCGGGCUUAACCCGGAAAGGUCAGCCGAUACUGCGGGGCUAGAGUGCAGAAGGGGCAACUGGAAUUCUCGGUGUAGCGGUGAAAUGCGUAGAUAUCGAGAGGAACACCAGUGGCGAAGGCGAGUCUCUGGGAUGAUGCUGACGCUGAGGCGCGAAAGCCAGGGGAGCAAACGGG